rnacentral:rRNA from 1 species
AGUGAACGCUGGCGGUAGGCCUAACACAUGCAAGUCGAACGGCAGCACAGUAAGAGCUUGCUCUUACGGGUGGCGAGUGGCGGACGGGUGAGGAAUACAUCGGAAUCUACUUUUUCGUGGGGGAUAACGUAGGGAAACUUACGCUAAUACCGCAUACGACCUACGGGUGAAAGCAGGGGAUCUUCGGACCUUGCGCGAUUGAAUGAGCCGAUGUCGGAUUAGCUAGUUGGCGGGGUAAAGGCCCACCAGGGCGACGAUCCGUAGCUGGUCUGAGAGGAUGAUCAGCCACACUGGAACUGAGACACGGUCCAGACUCCUACGGGAGGCAGCAGUGGGGAAUAUUGGACAAUGGGCGCAAGCCUGAGCCAGCCAUACCGCGUGGGUGAAGAAGGCCUUCGGGUGGUAAAGCCCUUUUGUUGGGAAAGAAAAGCAGCAGGUUAAUACCCCGCUGUUCUGACGGUACCCAAAGAAUAAGCACCGGCUAACUUCGU